rnacentral:rRNA from 1 species
CUACGGGUGGCUCCAGUGAGGAAUAUUGCACAAUGGAGGAAACUCUGAUGCAGCAACGCCGCGUGGAGGAUGACGCAUUUCGGUGUGUAAACUCCUUUUAUAUGUCAAGAAAAUGACGGUAGCAUAUGAAUAAGCACCGGCUAACUUCGUGCCAGCAACCGCGGUAAUACGGAGGGUGCAAGCGUUACUCGGAAUCACUGGGCGUAAAGGACGCGUAGGCGGGAUAUCAAGUCAGGUGUGAAAUCCUACAGCUUAACUGUAGAACUGCACUUGAAACUGGUAACCUAGAGUAUGGGAGGGGGAGAUGGAAUUAGUGGUGUAGGGGUAAAAUCCGUAGAUAUCACUAGGAAUACCUAAAGCGAAGGCGAUCUCCUGGAACAUAACUGACGCUAAGGCGUGAAAGCGUGGGGAGCAAACAGGAUUAGAUACCCUGGUAGUC